GUUUGUGCUUGUAUAACAACUAAAUUAUAACACCCUAUCACCAAAACCUUUAUCCCCCUUUAAAUAUACACCCUUUGGUUGCAAUCACAAUUGCAAUUAGCAACACUAAUUCUUAAUGAUGGUCAUGUGAGGCCUCAUGAAGCAUUUUGUAUUUUCUCUGAGCCCAGCAGAUGGCAGUGCUCAUUCAAAAAUAUUUUCAAAACACAAUGUACUUUUUUAUCC